rnacentral:rRNA from 1 species
GAUGAACGCUGGCGGCGUGCCUAAUACAUGCAAGUCGAGCGAACAGACGAGGAGCUUGCUCCUUUGACGUUAGCGGCGGACGGGUGAGUAACUCGUGGGUAACCUACUUAUAAGAGUGGGAUAAUUUCGGGAAACCGGAGCAAAUACCGGCUAAUAUUUCUAACCGAAUGGAUGGAUAGUGAGAGAUGGAUCUGCUAUCACUUAUAGAUGGACUGGCGCCGUAUUAGCUAGUUGGUAAGGUAACGGCUUACAAAGGCAACGAUCCGUGGCCGACCUGAGGGGGUGAUCGGCCACACUGGAACUGAGACACGGUCCAGACUCCUACGGGAGGCAGCAGUAGGGAAUCGUCCGCAAUGGGCGAAAGCCUGACGGAGCAACGCCGCGUGAGUGAUGAAGGUCUUCGGAUCGUAGAACUCUGUUAUUAGGGAAGAACAAACGUGUAAGUAACUGUGCACGUCUUGACGGUACCUAAUCAGAAAGCCACGGCUAACUACGUGCCAGCAGCCGCCGUAA